GAUGAACGCUAGCGGCAGGCUUAAUACAUGCAAGUCGAGGGGCAGCAUGAUUGUAGCAAUACAAUUGAUGGCGACCGGCAAGCGGGUGCGGAACACGUACACAACCUCCCAAUAAGUGGGGAAUAGCCCAGAGAAAUUUGGAUUAAUACCCCGUAACAUAACGAUGUGGCAUCACAUUGUUAUUAUAGAUUUUUCGCUUAUUGAUGGGUGUGCGGCUGAUUAGAUAGUUGGCGGGGUAACGGCCCACCAAGUCUACGAUCAGUAGCUGAUGUGAGAGCAUGAUCAGCCACACGGGCACUGAGACACGGGCCCGACUCCUACGGGAGGCAGCAGUAAGGAAUAUUGGACAAUGGACGCAAGUCUGAUCCAGCCAUGCCGCGUGAAGGAUUAUGGUCCUCUGGAUUGUAAACUUCUUUUAUAAGGGACGAAAAAAGGCUUUUCUAAGUCGUCUGACGGUACCUUAUGAAUAAGCACCGGCUAACUCCGUGCCAGCCGCCGCAGUAAAAC
rnacentral:rRNA from 1 species